UACAGAGGUCUCAAGCGUUGUUCGGAUUCAUUGGGCGUAAAGGGUGCGUAGGUGGCGCUGUAAGUCGGGUGUGAAAUUUCGGAGCUUAACUCCGAAACUGCAUUCGAUACUGCGGUGCUUGAGGACUGGAGAGGAGACUGGAAUUCAUGGUGUAGCAGUGAAAUGCGUAGAGAUCAUGAGGAAGACCAGUGGCGAAGGCGGGUCUUUGGACAGUUACUGACGCUGAGGCACGAAGGUCAGGGGAGCAAACGGG
rnacentral:rRNA from 1 species